AUUGAACGCUGGCGGCAUGCUUUACACAUGCAAGUCGAACGGCAGCACGGGGGCAACCCUGGUGGCGAGUGGCGAACGGGUGAGUAAUGCAUCGGAACGCGUCCUGUAAUGGGGGAUAACCUGGCGAAAGCCAGGCUAAUACCGCAUACGUCCUGAGGGAGAAAGCGGGGGAUCGUAAGACCUCGUGUUAUAGGAGCGGCCGAUGUCGGAUUAGCUAGUUGGUGGGGUAAAGGCCUACCAAGGCGACGAUCCGUAGCGGGUCUGAGAGGACGGCCCGCCACACUGGGACUGAGACACGGCCCAGACUCCUACGGGAGGCAGCAGUGGGGAAUAUUGGACAAUGGGGGCAACCCUGAUCCAGCCAUGCCGCGUGAGUGAAGAAGGCCCUCGGGUUGUAAAGCUCUUUUGUCCGGAAAGAAAGCAUCUGGUUAAUACCCGGGUGUUCUGACGGUUACCGGAAGAAUAAGCACCGGCUAACUUCGUGCCAGCAGCCGC
rnacentral:rRNA from 1 species